rnacentral:rRNA from 1 species
GAUGAACGCUGGCGGCGUGCCUAAUACAUGCAAGUCGAGCGAACAGACGAGGAGCUUGCUCCUCUGACGUUAGCGGCGGACGGGUGAGUAACACGUGGAUAACCUACAUAUAAGACUGGGAUAACUUCGGGAAACCGGAGCUAAUACCGGAUAAUAUAUUGAACCGCAUGGUUCAAUAGUGAAAGACGGUUUUGCUGUCAAUUAUAGAUGGAUCCGCGCCGCAUUAGCUAGUUGGUAAGGUAACGGCUUACCAAGGCAACGAUGCGUAGCCGACCUGAGAGGGUGAUCGGCCACACUGGAACUGAGACACGGUCCAGACUCCUACGGGAGGCAGCAGUAGGGAAUCUUCCGCAAUGGGCGAAAGCCUGACGGAGCAACGCCGCGUGAGUGAUGAAGGUCUUCGGAUCGUAAAACUCUGUUAUUAGGGAAGAACAAAUGUGUAAGUAACUAUGCACGUCUUGACGGUACCUAAUCAGAAAGCCACGGCUAACUACGUG